rnacentral:rRNA from 1 species
AACAAACGCUGGCGGCGUGCUUAACACAUGCAAGUCUGACGGGAAUGUCGGCUUCGGCUGGCUAGUACCGUGGCGCACGGGUGAGUAACACGUGGGUAACCUACCCUAGAGCCUGGGAUAACCUUGCGAAAGCGGGGCUAAUACCAGAUAAGACCACGCUUUGUUCGCAGAGCGCGGUAAAAGGUGGCCUCUUCAUGAAAGCUAUCACUCGAGGAUGAGCCCGCGGCCUAUUAGCUAGUUGGUGGGGUAAUGGCCUACCAAGGCGACGAUGGGUAGCCGGCCUGGGAGGGUGUACGGCCACGCUGGCAAUGAGACACGGGCCAGACUCCUACGGGAGGCAGCAGUGGGGAAUUUUGCGCAAUGGGGGAAAGCCUGACGCAGCGACGCCGCGUGAGUGAUGAAGGCCUUAGGGUUGUAAAGCUCUGUGGAGAGGGACGAAUAAGCGUCGGUGAAUAUCCGGCGUGAUGACGGUACCUCUUUAGCAAGCACCGGCUAACUCUGUGCCAGCCGCCGCGGUAAUAC